AUUAUUAAAUUUUAGUGAAUUUUAAGCAGUAAGAUAAAUGCUUGUGUUGUUUACUCGUGACUACAAAAAUUUAUCAAAAUGCAACGAAUGUUCCUGAUCUCAGUAUUACAUACAGCUACAAAUAAUAAUAAGACAAGUUUCAAAAACCAACUAGGAUAUUUCAUUUAUUCAAAAACAAACAAUAUCAUAACAAUCGAUUAAUAAUUAAUGCCUUGAUUGACUAUGAAGAUCUCAAUAAUAUAUAAUAUUGUGUUUGGUAGAUACCGGUAUGUUGCAUUAUAUUAGAUACCUAUCUACUUAUCAGGUAUCAUGUUAAAUAGUUAAUGGUCAAUGGUUACAUUAUAAAGGUAUGUUUUAUAAUGCGCCAACGCAUGAUAAAAUGCCUUGAAGGUUAAAGGGUAGAAAUCAUCAGGAAAAGAUGAAAUGUAAUAUUUUAAUCAUGUAAUACGAUAAUAUUAUAUUAUUAUAUUUUUAAUAAUAUUAUUUAAUUACUAUUAUAAAACAUUAUACCUGUAUGGCUGUAUACCUACUAACUUAAAGGAUGUCUUUAUGGUCAAUUA